UAAUCCUUCCAGUACUUAUUAGCUGCUGAAUGCUACAGAGGAAAUUCCUUUCUUUUUGAAACACUGAUGACCUCACGAGCACAGUGCUCUCUGCUGACAUCUCUGUCCAUUUUAGCAACCGUGCAGAGCAGAUGUAUGCUAAGGGCAGCAUGGUGGCUCAGUGGUUAGCACUGCUGCCUUGCAGUGCUGGGGCCUUGGGUUCAAAUCCCACUAAGGACAACAAUAAAUAAAGAGUUAUUAUUAUUAUUAUUAUUCCAAAAAGAAAAGAAUUUCCUCUGUAGUAUUCAGCAGCUAAUAAGUACAGGAAGGAUGAAUUUUUUUUAAUAGAAGUAAUUUAGAAAUCUGUUUAACUUUCUGGCACCAGUUGAUUUAAAAGAAAAAAGGUUUUCACCGGAGUACCCCUUUAAUUCCCCCCCAAAAGUCUGUGCAAUAGUUGCAGAAGAUUUCACGGAUUAUACAGCGAUUCCCAGAAGAAUGAUACGAUGGAACCAUGUGUACGUUUUUGGAUAAGUUUGAUGUGAUCAUUUCAGAUGACCCUGGUUGGAGCACUUAGCGGCAUUCUUAGAAGCACUUUACUUUUAUUACAGUUUUUUGUUCACUUUCUGUGUCUAGUAAAGAUCAAAUUUGUAUGUUAUAUGGAAAUGUUUAUUAAAGAGGUUGUUCGGGUAGCACUUCAUCUUUAUUUUUAGUUUUUUUUUAUAUUCCUUGGGAGGUUUGGACAAAAAAAUAAAUAAAUAAAAAAAAACGCACUUACCUUACUUGCCCUCCAACGACCUCCUUCUCCGGUUUCUUAGAUCUUUUAGGGUUUUCUUAGUUAUGAUGUCACAGAACCUCUCGACCAAUUAGUGGCCGCAGUGAUGUCCCGCCUUACUGACCUGUGAUGUCCUGUCUACCAACCUGGAGUGUUGCAGAGACCGGAGCUAUGGAGGAGAGGAAGUCUCCAGCACAGCUACACCUGAGGUGUGUAAACUGAUCUGUGAUCCCAGCUCCUCCUCCUCCUUCUGUAUCCAGCGGCUCAUUCCAGCAGACACUACUCUGGAGUCCUGACUGCGCUCAGUCCACUCUGCUACACCGGAGACCACCGACUCACUGUGUGCGGUACAUUUCUGGAAUGAUGUUAGUGGGGAAUGUUCUUGUUCCUCUCCUUCUCCUUUCCUAUGUAUAUUCGGGUCUCGCUGUCCAGCAGCUUCAUGUGAACCCACAGAUUACUGCAAAGAUUUCUGCCGCUGCAUCCAGGAUGUUUUGCUCGGGGCCCCUGGAUGUCCUUAUUCUCCUCGAUGGCUCUAAUAGUGUUGGGAAGGGAAGUUUCGAAAGGUCCAAGCAUUUUGCAGUGAAGUUCUGCAACACUUUAGACAUCCGUGCUGACCGGGUAAGGGUGGGGGUCAUUCAGUACAGCUCCACUCCGCAGGUAGAACUCCGACUUGACUCGGGGUUCACUAAGGAAGAUGUCAAGGAGAAGAUCAAGUCUGUUGUGUUUAGAGGGGGCAGCACCGAGACCGGUCUGGCCCUCAAAUAUGUUUUGCGGAAAGGUUUUCCAGGAGGUCGCAACUCUUCUGUACCCAAAAUUGUGAUCCUCCUCUCGGAUGGGAAAUCCCAGGGGAACCCCGCAGUCCCGGCUCUGCAGAUCAAGGAACAAGGGGUGGAGGUGUUUGCAGUUGGUGUAAAGUUUCCGAGAUGGUCGCAGCUCCAUUCCCUCUGCAGUGAUCCACCCUCUCGGCACGUCUUCUUUGCAGAACAUGUGGAUGACGCGGUGAAUGGUUUGGGCAGCGCACUGACUAACUCAUCGCUGUGCAGCGCCGUCCCAGCAGGCUGCACAGUCCAGUCGUUCCCAUGUGAGCGGAAAACCCUGGAAACCGUGAAGGAGCUGAGCGGGAACUACGUGUGCUGGAGAGGAGGGUCUGGCCCCCGUAAUGUGUUUGCAGGACACUGCCCCUUCUACAGCUGGAAGCGUUUCUUCAGCAGACAGGAGGCGCUGUGCCCCCGAGCCGUGUGUCCAGACCCCUGUGACUCUCAGCCCUGUAAGAACGGGGGCACCUGCGUCCCCGACGACAUGGACAAGUAUCGCUGCCUGUGUCCUGCCGGAUUUGCCGGGGAUUCUGAAUGUUCUCCUAACCUGAACCUGGAGUGUAACAUCGACCUCCUCUUCCUGCUGGACAGCUCGUCCUCCUCCUCCCUGGAGACCUUCAUGCAGCACAAGUCGUUCCUGAAGCGUUUCCUCCAGGGGGCGCUGUCCGAUGACUCCCCGGUCAAUGUGGGGGUCGCCCAGUACAGCACCGAGGUCCAGAUGGUGGUGAAGAUCAAUGAAUACGAGAACGUGGGCGAAUUGAUCAGAUACGUGGACGGCAUGAGGUUCAUGGGCGGAGGCCUCUACACUGGGAAAGCCCUGCGGUACGUCACGCAGCACGGAUUCAAGAGCACCCCGACCUUCUCUGACGUCCGCGACGACCUCCCUCGUGUGGUGGUGUUACUGACCGGCUCCACGUCUCAGGACCCGGUGAAAGAACCGGCCCAGUACGCUCGGGACCACGAGGUAUUUCUGAUCGGGGUAUCAAAUGACUCCACCAAGGAGGAGAUGAUGGAGAUUGUAGGGAACCCCCACAAUGUGAUCGGCUACUCCAGCCCCCCACAUCUCUUCAACCAGCUGCCCCAACUCCAGAAGAGGAUCUGCAGCGUGGACAUCCAAGGUUGUCAGGCGCAGCCCUUGGACCUGGUCCUAGUGAUGGACGCCUCGUCCGCCGUUGGUCCUGAGAACUUCCUCCGGGUGCUGAACUUCCUGACCAUGGUCUCCCUCCAGUUUGACAUUAACCGCGAUGUCACCCAGGUGGCUCUGGUCACGUAUGGCAGUCAGCCGCUGACCGUUUUCGGACUUGACGCCCACGAGACCAGUUCCAGCCUCCUUCACGCCAUCAACCGGGUGCAGUACCGCGGGGGCCCACCCUCCACUGGAGGCGCUCUCCUUCAUGUCUACAACGAGGUGAUGACUAUCCAGAAAGGGGCUCGUCCCGGGGUGAAGAAGGCGGUGGUCCUGGUGACCGAUGGCCGCGGCUCUGAGGACGCUGCCGUCCCCGCCCAGAAACUGCGGGAUAAUGGAAUCUCCGUCUUCGCUGUGGGAAUCGGGAAAAUCCAUAGGAGCCUAUUACUGCGCAUCGCCGGAUCGGAGAACUACCUCACCCACGUGCCCAACCACGACGCCCUGAGCCAGUACGAAGACGCCGUGGUCCAGAGCGUGUGCGAAGAAGCGAAGAACAAAGUGGACCUGUGUAAGCCGAACCCCUGUAUGAACGGUGGGGUGUGCGUCCUGGGGCCGGGCAGCUACCGCUGUGAGUGCGACGGAUGGGACGGACCGCACUGCGAGACCCGGAUCCUCAGAGGAGACGCUCAUUGGCCCCUGGGAUUACAAAGACGAAGGCCGCGACACUCACUUGGGUCACAUGGGCGCGCCCCGGCGUUAUCCAGCCGCAGGUCCUCUCCGCAGACGCCGUAACCUCCGUGUACAGAGGGUGAAGCGCAGAGCUGACACUGCUUCAUCCAUCCAGCUGACAGGAUGAGUUCCCAGGUGACCACCGAUAGAACCGCAACAGGACAGAAAAACAUUAAUUAUGGCAGAAAUAUACAGAGAUAAUACAUAUUUCUGUGGAACAGUCUGC